GACGUAGGGCGCAAGCGUUGUCCGGAUUUAUUGGGCGUAAAGAGCUCGUAGGCGGCUUGUCGCGUCGACUGUGAAAACCCACGGCUCAACCGUGUGGCUUGCAGUCGAUACGGGCAGGCUAGAGUUCGGUAGGGGAGACUGGAAUUCCUGGUGUAGCGGUGAAAUGCGCAGAUAUCAGGAGGAACACCGGUGGCGAAGGCGGGUCUCUGGGCCGAUACUGACGCUGAGGAGCGAAAACGUGGGGAGCGAACAGG
rnacentral:rRNA from 1 species